rnacentral:sRNA from 1 species
UGCAAUAAUUGAAGAAAAAUAGAAACAGAGAAAAACACAAAAAAAA